rnacentral:rRNA from 1 species
GUGAAGCGGCAACAGCUCAAAUUUGAAAUCUGGCGUCUUCGGCGUCCGAGUUGUAAUUUGCAGAGGGCGCUUUGGCAUUGGCAGCGGUCCAAGUUCCUUGGAACAGGACGUCACAGAGGGUGAGAAUCCCGUACGUGGUCGCUAGCCUUUACCGUGUAAAGCCCCUUCGACGAGUCGAGUUGUUUGGGAAUGCAGCUCUAAAUGGGAGGUAAAUUUCUUCUAAAGCUAAAUACUGGCCAGAGACCGAUAGCGCACAAGUAGAGUGAUCGAAAGAUGAAAAGCACUUUGGAAAGAGAGUUAAAAAGCACGUGAAAUUGUUGAAAGGGAAGCGCUUGCAGCCAGACUUGCCUGUAGUUGCUCAUCCGGGUUUCUACCCGGUGCACUCUUCUAUAGGCAGGCCAGCAUCAGUUUGGGCGGUUGGAUAAAGGUCUCUGUCAUGUACCUCUCUUCGGGGAGAACUUAUAGGGGAGACGUCAUGCAACCAGCCUGGACUGAGGUCCGCGCAUCUGCUAGG